UAGGGAAUCUUCGGCAAUGGACGGAAGUCUGACCGAGCAACGCCGCGUGAGUGAAGAAGGUUUUCGGAUCGUAAAGCUCUGUUGUUAGAGAAGAACGUUGGUAGGAGUGGAAAAUCUACCAAGUGACGGUAACUAACCAGAAAGGGACGGCCAACUACGUGCCAGCAGCCGCGGUAAUACGUAGGUCCCGAGCGUUGUCCGGAUUUAUUGGGCGUAAAGCGAGCGCAGGCGGUUCUUUAAGUCUGAAGUUAAAGGCAGUGGCUUAACCAUUGUACGCUUUGGAAACUGGAGGACUUGAGUGCAGAAGGGGAGAGUGGAAUUCCAUGUGUAGCGGUGAAAUGCGUAGAUAUAUGGAGGAACACCGGUGGCGAAAGCGGCUCUCUGGUCUGUAACUGACGCUGAGGCUCGAAAGCGUGGGGAGCAAACAGGAUUAGAUACCCUGGUAGUCCACGCCGUAAACGAUGAGUGCUAGGUGUUAGGCCCUUUCCGGGGCUUAGUGCCGCAGCUAACGCAUUAAGCACUCCGCCUGGGGAGUACGACCGCAAGGUUG
rnacentral:rRNA from 1 species